GCACUUACGAUGGAUGUCUGAAAAUAAAGUUGAAUGUGUUUUCUUGAGCUAGAAGCACAUGCAACUUGACUCAUCAUCACAAGCUUCAGAUUCAAGUUUAAGAUAGGAAUGAGAAGACCUAUUAAAACAGCUGCAGGGACAGAGUCAGAGCAAGAAAUACUACUGAUCCACCAAUCAGAGGCAGUUCAACAAGGAAGAACAGCCUGAUAGAAGAGGCAGGAAAAGACAGGAUCAGCAAGACAGGGGCCAGUGAAGAUAUUAACCCCACCUACAAUUUCUCCCAGCUAUCCAGACCAGCCAGAGGUGGACAGAGUGGAAAACAUGUACCUGUUCAUCAAGGAUAAGAAUCUGGGACACCAAGAUGUCUUUACUUAUAAAGGAUUUUGACUUUGAUUUGAAACCUCACCAAGAAUGAAGAAAUUGAAGGACGAGAGGAGUUGAAGGAAGAUGGAAACAGCAGGCUGAGUGAACCUUCUGAUUUAAAAAGAUUUUACGAUGAGGACAAGCGGCCCUAGAUGUCCACCUCAUCUGCUGCAGCAGCAGCAUCAUCAGAGACCGUUUGCUGUCCUGAAGAUCAUCAGGACAAGUGGGAUUCAAACUCAUUUCCAGGGGAGAUUGGGACCUGAAUACAGCCUUCAAAGGUUUAAAAAAUGUGUAAUUAAUGAGAAAGAAAGAAAGACACAAAGUUUAUGCAUUAUUUGAUAAAAGUGCUUGCUAAAUGUUUAUGACCUGGUUUGACACUGAAAAUGAUGAUAUAGGAAUUCCUCAAAGAGCUCCUGAGUUGAGUAAGUGGUGUCAAAAUGUACCAACCUCAUUGCCUACAUCAGUAAACCAGACGGAAAUGAUUUUAUUCUGUUAAGUGGCUGCGUUCUUGAACACACUGUGUUUUUUUUACAGCACUAAUAUCAUCUCAGCUGGAUAUUUUCUCAAAACUGAAUGGAAAAUAAAAGAAUUAUUUGCAAGACUAAAACUACAUUAAACAGCGUUUUUAAAUAAAAGUAAAAUAGUGACAAACUGGCAACUUGUUUAUGUGUCCCAUGCCUGGUCCCAACAAGAACAAGUUGAUGAAGGUAUAAAAGUUAUGAUAUAUGAAAAACAAACAACUGGAAAAAAGGGGGAUCAAGUUUAAAGGUGCUCAGCCAAACUGUGUAACAUUUACAGUAUACAGGGUGUAAAAUGAUAAUUUUAUACCUUUUUAGGCUGAUAAUGAAUCACUGUUACAGACCUUACAUAAAAGC